rnacentral:rRNA from 1 species
CCUACGGGUGGCAGCAGUGGGGAAUAUUGGUCAAUGGGCGCAAGCCUGACCCAGCGACGCCGCGUGAAGGAAGAAGGCUCUCGGGUUGUAAACUUCUUUUAUCAGGGACGAAACAAGUGACGGUACCUGAUGAAUAAGCCACGGCUAACUACGUGCCAGCAGCCGCGGUAAUACGUAGGUGGCAAGCGUUAUCCGGAUUUACUGGGUGUAAAGGGCGUGUAGGCGGGAAAGCAAGUCAGAUGUGAAAACCAUGGGCUCAACCUGUGGACUGCAUUUGAAACUGUUUGUCUUGAGUGCUGGAGAGGCAGGCGGAAUUCCGAGUGUAGCGGUGAAAUGCGUAGAUAUUAGGAGGAACACCAGUGGCGAAGGCGGUCUGCUGGACAGCAACUGACGCUGAGGCGCGAAAGCGUGGGGAGCAAACAGGAUUAGAUACCCGUGUAGUC